AAAUAUUUUUUAUUUUCUUCCCGAAAAUAACAGUAAAACGAUAGUAAAUAUUAGAGUAAUUGGCAAGUGAUUGAGAUAACCUAACUCGAGUCUUGAUAAUGGAGAUGCAUGUGCUGCAUUUGGUUUAUCUGGUUGUCUUUACUACAAUAGCUGCUCUCUUUUUUGUGUGUAAUCACUCAUCUUUUAACACCGUUCAUUUUUAACAAUUGACCUAAACAAAUUUAGGUUAGAUGAUGUUUCCGCGUCAGCUAACUAUGAAGGUUAAAAGCCAUAUAUCUUCAUUCCUCAGGUUUUUUACGUCAUUGUAUCCCAAAUC
rnacentral:lncRNA from 1 species